ensembl:snRNA U6 U6 spliceosomal RNA
GUGCUCUCUUCAACAGUUCCAAUUACAUAUGAUAAUUGGAACAUUACCGAGAAGUUCAUGGCCCCUGUGUAAGUAUGAUAUGCAAAUCUGUGAAGCAUUCCAUAUAUUU